rnacentral:lncRNA from 1 species
CACAGCUUUUGAGAACGCAAGGUCACCUUUACAGAAUGAUGUGGCAAUUGGAGAAGGACUUUGGCGGAGGUCUAUGAAUAAUAAUCCAGUAAAUUCAACUUUCUUUGCUGCUGUGCCCUAACCACAUUACACCCUUGGAAAAUGUAUACUUAGUGACUAAUGACUUGGGCUAUAAACAUUAGUUAGCAAAUUUCCCUCUAAUUAUGUGUAAAUUUGAUUAAAAUAAUCAUAAUUUGCACAUGUCCAUUCAAUAAUUUUCUUUAGUGCUUUAUGCCAUGCAUUAAAAGCAUGCUUGGAGAGACUUAUCAGAUGCAACAUUUUUCUUACAGAGAUUUUAAAAAACCCAAGCUCCUAAAUGGAAACUAAGUAACUUGCACUCCAAGAGCUCAGGUCUACUCUUUCCAUGUUGUCUCAUUUCUAGUGAUUAUUUCACACAAGGAGAUAAAAGCCACUGACUCAAAGCUUUGGGUGAGUUUGCUGCCCUGCAGUGCUAUUUUCUUCUCACUUAAAUGAUGAUGAUGAUGGCAUUGAUGAUCAUUUAAAGAAUGUCAAGAACUCGUCGGCUGUUAGAACACAAUUCUGACUUUCAUGCUCAAACAAAAUGUGAAGAACUGAGCAGUCAAUCACUGACUUCCAAAGUUCAGAGGGCGACGGAACUCAUUGUAAAUGACUACGAGAAGAGGCUGCUGGACACAUUUCACCAACAGGAGGUGGAAACAAUGACUAUGGCAACAUACUGCUAUUGUUUGAAAAUCAGAAAGUGUAAUUGACUGGACCAUUUUCAUUGCCCAAGUUGAAUGAAAUUUACAGUUUACAAAGUAACUUCCUGUGUAGCCUGGGCAAGUUGCUGAACAUCUGUGGGCCUCAGUUUCCUAAUUUUUCAAAUGAAAGAAUUGGACUAGAUGUCUAAACUCCCAACUUUCAGU